rnacentral:ncRNA from 1 species
AAGUUGAUGCAGGUAGACCCGAAACCGAGUGAUCUAGUCCUGGACAGGCUGAAAGCAGGGUAACACCUGCCGGAGGGCCGAACCUACUGUCGUUGCAAAGCCAGAGGAUGAUCUGGGACUAGGGGUGAAAGGCCAAUCAAACCCGGUGAUAGCUGGUUCUCCCCGAAAGCUAUUUAGGUAGCGUCCUGCAGGGGCGUAUGGGGGUAGAGCACUGUUAUAGGAAGGGGUUCAUUGCGAACUACCGACCUAUUGCAAACUACGAAUACCAUACAGUUGUAAGCAGGGGACACACAGUGGGUGCUAACGUUCAUUGUGAAGAGGGAAACAACCCGGACCGCCAGCUAAGGUCCCAAAGUUCUGAUUAAGUGGGAAACGAUGUGGGAAGGCAUAGACAGCCAGGAUGUUGGCUUAGAAGCAGCCAUCAUUUAAAGAAAGCGUAAUAGCUCACUGGUCGAGUCGGCCUGCGCGGAAGAUGUAACGGGGCUCAAAUCAGACACCGAAGCUGCGGAUUUGUACU